UACGUAGGGUGCGAGCGUUGUCCGGAAUUAUUGGGCGUAAAGAGCUCGUAGGCGGCUUGUCGCGUCGACUGUGAAAUCCCGCGGCUCAACCGCGGGUCUGCAGUCGAUACGGGCAGGCUAGAGUUCGGUAGGGGAGACUGGAAUUCCUGGUGUAGCGGUGAAAUGCGCAGAUAUCAGGAGGAACACCGAUGGCGAAGGCAGGUCUCUGGGCCGAUACUGACGCUGAGGAGCGAAAGCGUGGGGGAGCGAACAGG
rnacentral:rRNA from 1 species